rnacentral:lncRNA from 1 species
AAAAUGUUUGUUUGACACCAAGUUUUGACACAAAUUUGACACCGUCCUAGGUGUCAAAUUGUUAUUGGCUGAUGUUUUAUUUACUGAAACGUUUUUUUUAAUAAACUGGCAGGGGCAGAACUGGAAUAAUGAGUGUUUGAAUAUCAUUUUGCAAUUGGCGGUUUCAUUUUCGUUUCAAGAGCAGUUUNGAACACUUUCGACUUUCGCCUCCUCUCAACGUCUUCGUUCUUCGUCCACCACCAUCUCCACCAUUGCUGCGUUCUCUGUGNGUUCUUUGUCCACCACCAUCUCCAUAGCUGCCUUCUCUCCGUUGCUCCGUUGAGAACAGUUGCCGAGAACANUUUCGAACACCAACGCCUCCUCUCAACGCCUUCUUUGUCCACCAUCACUAUAACUAUUGCUUCGUUCUCUCCAUUGCUCCCUUCGUUUCAUUUUGUCUCAACCAAGGAAAGGCGACGAUUGAGAAGGUAAGGGCGUAUUUUGGCAUUGGGGUUUUUGGUUUGGGUGGUGGUCAUGUUUCUGUGGUCAUUUG